rnacentral:rRNA from 1 species
CAGUCGCCGCGGUAAUACAGAGGGUGCGAGCGUUAAUCGGAUUUACUGGGCGUAAAGCGUGCGUAGGCGGCUUCUUAAGUCGGAUGUGAAAUCCCCGGGCUCAACCUGGGAACUGCAUCCAAAACUGGCAGGCUAGAGUAGGGCAGAGGGUGGUGGAAUUUCCUGUGUAGCGGUGAAAUGCGUAGAUAUUCGGAAGAACACCAGUGGCGAAGGCGGCUUACUGGCUCAUACUGGACGCUGAGGUGCGAAAGCGUGGGGAGCAAACAGGAUUAGAUACCCCAGUAGUCCCUGUCUCUUAUAC